rnacentral:lncRNA from 1 species
UUAAGAAAGAGAAAGGGGAGACCUUUUCCUUUCUUCCAUACUCAGAGGACACGUGACAAACAAGUAAUUUGCUGUCCGAUGUUCUAAAAUCGAAUAAAAAAAGUGGUGUGAAUACUGGUUGUCAAAACCAACCCACACGCGACAGAAAUGAAAGCGUCAACGAAAAGGACUCGACUGCUCCGAGGUCAUGCCCUUUUACCCAAGGUUUGCUCGCAUCGGAAUCCUUGGCGUCGGCUGAGAAUUUUCUACAGCCGCCGCAUUAAUCCCCAGUCGUAUGACUUUGUGUUCCUUUCGACACUAGUGACUGGGCCCAUAUGAUUCAUCAUCUAAAGUACCUAACUAAUCAAAGAAUCAUGCGAUGCAUAAUGCAAGAGUGGCUUGCUUGGUGGGCAAGAAAGAGACGUACGUCCGGAAAUGAAAGGCGCCCAGAUGCAAUGCACGGGCAUGGCGAUAGGGCGUCUCGACAGUGACAUCCAGAAACCCCUAACGAGUGAUGCCACCGCCUCGCACGGUUUUAACUGGGGACGUACUCAUCACGAACCCCGUAACUGUGUCACCUUUCCACUUCCUUGUCUCUUUUCGCCAUCUCCAGGUCCAAUGGAUCCAUGUGUCAUAAUUCCAUGUUCUCCAUGAAACCCUAGCUCGCUGUCGAUCCUGAUCCCUUACGUGAGCUGAAGGGUUCUGAGCAAGGGAGACAGACGUACAUAUUCAUGUCGUGAAUCCCCCCCUCCUUGCACAACGGCUGCGUAAUUAACAGUGCUAGUCCCUUCAACUCCAAAUUCCAUCUUGUCUUCAUGCAAUUUAUACAUGAAAAUUCAUACUAAAUGUAGCAAAAAAACAAAAUUGAUAUGAAACGAUGAAAACACAGAAAUGAAAUCAAAAUAUAGAGCAUUAAGGUGAAUUAUGCAUAAAUAAAUAUAAUAUAAUAUGAAUUAUGCAUUAAUAUGUAAAUUUACCUGAACUGAACGGAUUGGUUCCAGCAUGGGUAGGUGUCUGCGGGCAACAGCACGUUGGUCUUCGCCACCUUGACCAAUGCAGUCGGCCGCCUCACGCGAAGCUUCCCGGAUCCCACACGUGGUUGCUGCGACCCCUCCAUUCCCCUAUAUAUACAACACGAUGGGGGUUCAAAAAAUCUCGACCACCAGCUUCUCAACAAAUCACACACCCAACACCGGGAAAGAGAGAUCGAGCUUACAGGAGACACGAGGAUGGGAAGGAAGAGAGAUGCUGAGGCCGAGCUCAACCUGCCACCGGGGUUCCGGUUCCACCCCACAGACGAGGAGCUCGUCGUGCACUACCUGUGCAGGAAGAUAGCCUGCCAGCGCCCGGCCGUACCUAUCAUCGCCGAGAUCGAUCUCUACAAAUAUGACCCUUGGGAAUUACCAGGUAUUGUAACCAUCCAAUGAUAUAAAAAUCAGUUCAUUUGUUUUUUUUUUUUUUGCCGAGGAAGAUAUCAAAUGGUUUCCAUACCUGUUGGCUAAAUUGAUUUGGCUUUGUAUGUUUGUGAUGUGAGCAGACAAAUCAUUGUUUGGACAAAGGGAGUGGUAUUUCUUCACCCCCCGUGACCGCAAGUACCCAAACGGCUCAAGGCCGAACCGGAGUGCCGGGAAGGGAUACUGGAAGGCAA